rnacentral:tRNA from 1 species
GGUUUCUUGGCGCAGUUGGUUAGCGCGUCUCCUUAACAAUUCUGGUCUCUCAGAUCGUUAGGGCUUACGGAGGAGGUCGCCGGUUCGAACCCGGCAGAAAUCA